UCAAAUAUAUUAAAAUUUAUGAUGGAUACCUAGGCAUUUAGAGUCGAUGAAGGGCGUGGAUACCAACGAAAUGCUUCGGUUAGUUGGAAAUAAACUUUGAUCCGAAGAUUCCCGAAUAGGAAAACCUAUAUAACUACUUAAUGAAUUCAUAAUUAAGUAAGAGACAACCUGCUGAAUUGAAACAUCUUAGUAAGCAGAGGAAAAGAAAGCAAACGCGAUUUCCUUAGUAGCGGCGAGCGAAACGGAAAUAGUCUAAUCAUUAAAAAAACACUAUUAAACGAAGCAGCUGAAUCCUGCACCAUAGAUGGUGAAAGUCCAGUAGUUAAAAAUAGAAAAAGUGAUUAUAAAGUAGCAUGGAGCACGUGUAAUUCCGUGUGAAUAUACGAGGACCACCUCGUAAGACUAAAUACUCCUAAAUGACCGAUAGUGAAACAGUACCGUGAGGGAAAGGUGAAAAAGAACCCCUGUAGGGGAGUGAAAAAGAACAUGAAAUCAUAAAUUGACAAUCAGUGGGAGCUAAAGUGACCGCGUGCCUGUUGAAGAAUGAGCCGGCGACUUAUAGGUAGUGGCUUGGUUAAAAUAACUUUUUGGAGCCAAAGCGAAAGCAAGUCUGAUAAGGGCAUAUGUCACUAUUUAUAGACCCGAACCCGAGUGAUCUAACCAUGGCCAGGAUGAAUCUUGGGUAACACCAAGUGGAAGACCGAACCGACUGAUGUUGAAAAAUCAGCGGAUGAGCUGUGGUUAGGGGUGAAAUUCCAGUCGAACUCGGAGCUAGCUGGAUCUCCUCGAAAUGUGUUGAGGCGCAGCGGUUGAUGAUGGGCUAUUUAGGGGUAAAGCACUGUUUCGGUGCGGGCUGCGAAAGCGGUACCAAAUCGUGGCAAACUAAGAAUACUAAAUAUGCUUUCCAUCAACCAGUAAGACAGUGGGGGAUAAGCUUCAUUGUCAAAAGGGAAACAGCCCAGAUCACCAGUUAAGGCCCCAAAGUGAUGACUAAGUGAUAAAGGAAGUAAAAAGGCAAAGACAACCAGAAGGUUUGCUUAGAAGCAGCCAUCCUUGAAAGAGUGCGUAAUAGCUCACUGGUAGAGCCUUUUUGCGCCGAAAAUGAACGGGGCUAAGUCAUCCGCCGAAACUGUGGGUUACAGUUUUUUAACUGUUACGGUAGAGGAGCGUUCCGUUAUAGGGUGAAGUUAAAAUGUGAAUUUUAAUGGACGAAACGGAAGUGAGAAUGUCGGCUUGAGUAACGAAAACAUUGGUGAGAAUCCAAUGCCCCGAAAACCUAAGGGUUCCUUCACAAGGUUCGUCCAUGGAGGGUUAGUCAGGACCUAAGGCGAGAUCGAAAGGUGUAGUCGAUGGAAAACAGACUAAUAUUUCUGUACUUUAUUUAAUUUGGUAAAGAGGGACGGAGAAGGCGGUAACUAGCUAGAUAUUGGUAUUCUAGUAGAAGUAUUGAAUUCUUAAAAGAAUGAAAAAAAACUUUCUUUAGAAAACAUACGAUCUAACUGAAACUUUAGUUAUAUAGAGUUUUGGUUUAGUUUUAGUCAUACUUCCAAGAAAAGCUUUUAUUACCAUUAAAUUAAAUCAACCUGUACCCUAAACUGACACAAGUAGGUAGGUAGAGAAUACUAAGGGGCGCGAGAUAACUCUCUCUAAGGAACUCGGCAAAAUGGCCCCGUAACUUCGGGAGAAGGGGUGCCUAUAUUAAUAUAGGCCGCAGUGACCAGGCCCAGGCGACUGUUUAUCAAAAACACAGGUCUCCGCAAAGUCGUAAGACAAUGUAUGGGGGCUGACGUCUGCCCAGUGCCGGAAGGUAAAAGAAGUUGGUUAUUCUUCUCAGAAGAAAAAGCUGACGACUGAAGCCCCGGUGAACGGCGGCUGUAACUCUGACAGUCCUAAGGUAGCGAAAUUCCUUGUCGAGUAAGUUUCGACCCGCACGAAAGACGUAACGAUCUGGGCACUGUCUCGGAGAGAGACUCGGUGAAAUAGAAAUGUCUGUGAAGAUGCGGACUACUUAUACCAGGACAGAAAGACCCUAUGAAGCUUGACUGUAAUUUGGAAUUGGGUUCGGGCUUUUUUUGCGCAGUCUAGGUGGGAGGCGUUGAUAUUAAGUUUUCGGACUUAAUGAAGCCAUCAGUGAGAGACCACUCUAAAAGAGCUAGAAUUCUAAUAGGACUCCUUGAAUCAGGAUCCUUGACAGUUUCAGAUGGACAGUUUGACUGGGGCGGUGACCUUGAUUAUUGGGGUGUUUAUCAAGUGAUUGAUAAAUUGAACCGAGCUAUAUGCUGGGACGUCUGUACUUUGUAUUUUAAAAUAUUCACAUUAUUCCGUUAUCUAUUUUAAAGUAUAAAAGUUGAAGAUUUAACUUUACGAGGAUUAGACCGUAAAAAUAAGUUAAUGCAGAUAAUCAGCAGGGAAGUCCUCUACUUAUUGUAUGACCCCUCAACGACUACACGCUUGGCUCUUAUUUAAUAAGAUGAUGAUAUAGUCUGAACUUUAUGGCGACAUAAAGUUGAGUUAGAAACUCAACGUUAAGACUUUGCUUUAAAUUGCAAAGAAUUAUACACAAGGAAAAAAUUAUUUUAACGAAUACACAAAAAGAAAUUAUUAU
rnacentral:rRNA from 1 species